rnacentral:siRNA from 1 species
AUAUAGCAGGUAGGCUUAUAU